ACUUUGGUAACCAUGGUGACCAGAGCUUCCUCCUGCUACAGUUGGAGGACGGUGACGUGCCUAGCUUGCUGAUUAAAUCCACUACCCAGUGAAUUGAAGCACACCCUCUUUACAUGGAUCACCGCAUGUCCCUGUGAUGCCCCUGUUGUGCCAGCAGUGAGUUCUCUUCUUCGUCAGAACAGGAACGAGGGAAGGACUGUGAAGAUUCGCUCAAGUACUACACUUAAACACAAAUUUGAGCCGCACUGAAGUCUUUCAUGAUGUCUUUGGCACGGUCAUGGCAUGGUCUUCAGAAGAAACCGCACACAGCAUAUGCAGAUCUGAAUUAAACCUUCUCCACUGGGAUGCCUCCUGACAUUCUUCACUGGAACCUCCAGGGUCCUUUAACC